rnacentral:hammerhead_ribozyme from 1 species
AUCCAACUGAUAAGUUCUAAAUAGGACGAAAUGGAUGUCCUGGAU